ensembl:lncRNA
GUGGGAUUCCCGUGUGAAAGGGCAGCGUGGCUCUGGGCCGGGGGGCCGCUGCGGUACGGCGGCUGCUAAAACUCUCCCUGCCCCGUAAGUGCUGCUGAAAAUCCCGCUGGGAGCGUGCUGGCUGCGGGGAGGGCCAAAGCUUUUCAAGCGCUUUCACCUCGAGGUCACCGGUUCAGACUCAGCCUGGGGGCAGGGAGCACGGUAAGUGGAUGUUAUUCCUGAUGGAUGUGCGAGGGGAGGAGGAUUUAGGAGAAAUUGGUCUGGGGCGUUUUCAGGCUGGAGACUUCAGAGGAACAGACGUCCCUGUUGUUAGAGCUAAUUAGCAGCUUCGGUUCGGUGGGCAAAGGGUCGAACAAACCACGAGGCUGCUGGCUGAGCAUCCCCGGCUGCCGGCGGGCUGCGAGCUGCUCCCGGCCGGGCUGCUGGCACUUCCUUGCUCCCCGCGGGAGGCUGACCUGCUUCAAAGCACACAGACAGAGCUUUCAGGCUCUCCAAAUCCCCAGCACCUCCCAGCAGAUGCUGGAUCUCGUGCUCUGCUCCCGCAGCACGCCGGCUUUGCACUCAAGGCAUUUCUCCGGGGGCCCCCUCAGACGGUUCCCCGCCUUGGGUUUGUUUCUGAUCUCCCCGUUCCUUGGGGCACCUUCCCAGAGUUGGGUUCAAACCUAAAAAGAAAAAAGGGUUAAAAAAAGGUUAGAAAUCCCCUUCUGACUCUCCUUGUAGCUGCAGGUUGGAGGAAGCGGCCUCGCUGUGUCCAGACAGGCAGCUCUGCCUCAGAAGCUCCCACCGCAGAGCUGCCAGCCCGCCCUGCCCUGGCAGCAGAGGUUGGAGGCACGCGGGCAGCGAGCGACACGGGGUCCCCAAAGUGCUGCAGAUCCGCGAUGAUUGAAGACCUUCUCCUGGCAGACAAACCAACCGCUCCCGAGGAUGUGCACUUGGCGGGACCCCGCUGUCUCACGUCGCCCCCCCCCCGCCACCUGCCUGUCGCUGGAGAGGUGACAAAAUGGCAUCUUUCCUCCCCGGCGAGGUGAGUCGCUGCCAGUUCCUCGCUGGGUCAAGCAGGUUUCCUCGCUUUAUUUUUUGCCAUCCCCUGUGGUUUCCUCCUCCCCUGCAUCGCUGCGGGAACAGCGGGGAUUGCCUCCAUCACUUCCCCCCUCCUGGCUCCCAACCUCUUCAUUUUUCAGCACAGCUUUGCUUGAAACAAUGGCACAAGCCUGCAAGCCAGGAAUGCUUUGCAGCGCGGUGGAGCAGGGCCUCCUUCCCAAUUCAUCACUAAUGCAGGAACGCCAAGCCCUUCCUGGCUGCAGCGAGCACGAGAUAAAAGCUAAAAGAGGCAUCAAUAAUUAAAAACCACUCAGAGCCGGUAAGUGCAAACAGGAGCCAACAUACAGAUCGAAGGCAGCGCCAGCGACGGGGGCUGUCAGCUGCUGGGCUGCUCACAGGGAUCCCACACCCCUCUGCGUCCCCCCCCCAGCCCUCAGCCACGUGGUGACAAGGUGCCCAUGGGUCAGGAGAACAAAACGGGUGUGAGUCCGUGCAGGGAAAACCCAAAUCUUCGCUUGGGUGAUCCCAAUUCUGCUCCCACACUGCAUGGCCACAACCCUCCCCCUCUCCCCCCCGGGCUGCUCUGCCCACCGUCCCUGCUGUGGGGGGGAACUCAACGCCCACAUCCCCUGCAGCUCCCCCAGCCCUGCCCCGUGUUACCUUCCCCACAUCCUCUUCCCCAUAUCUGCAGCCCCAUGUUCCCUGCCCUGACGUCCCCUUCCCCACAUCCCCUGCCCUAUGUCUCCAGUCCCACAUCACCUGCAGCGUCCUCUUCCCCAUGUCCUCUUCUUCCUGUCCCCUUCCUUAUGUCUGCUGCCCUGUGUCCCACAUCCCCUUCCCCAUGUCCCCUGCAGUGUCCUCUUCCCCACAUCCUCUUCCCUGCCCACGUUCACUUCCCCAUAUCCCCUUCCCUAUGUCUGCUGCUGUCUCCAGUCCCGUGUCCCCUGCCCCAUGUUCCCUUCCCCAUAUCCCCCGCCAGUGUCCUCUUCCCCACGUACCCUUCCCCGUGUCUCCUGUCCUAUAUCUCCAGCCCCCUCCCCCAUGUGUCUUGCCCCAUAUCCUCUUCCCUUUCUCCAGCCCCACAUCUCCUGCCCCAUGUCCCCUUCCCUAUGUCUCUAGCCCCAAGUCCCCAGCCUCAUAUCCCCUCUUCUAUGGCUCCAGCCCCACUUCCUUGCCCCCAUAUCCCUUUCCCUAUGUCCCCUGCCCUACAACCCCAUCCUUAUAUCCCC